CGCGAAGAACCUUACCUGGUCUUGACAUCCACGGAAGUUUUCAGAGAUGAGAAUGUGCCUUCGGGAACCGUGAGACAGGUGCUGCAUGGCUGUCGUCAGCUCGUGUUGUGAAAUGUUGGGUUAAGUCCCGCAACGAGCGCAACCCUUAUCCUUUGUUGCCAGCGGUCCGGCCGGGAACUCAAAGGAGACUGCCAGUGAUAGACUGGAGGAAGGUGGGGAUGACGUCAAGUCAUCAUGGCCCUUACGACCAGGGCUACACACGUGCUACAAUGGCGCAUACAAAGAGAAGCGACCUCGCGAGAGCAAGCGGACCUCAUAAAGUGCGUCGUAGUCCGGAUUGGAGUCUGCAACUCGACUCCAUGAAGCCGGAAUCGCUAGUAAUCGUGGAUCAGAAUGCCACGGUGAAUACGUUCCCGGGCCUUGUACACACCG
rnacentral:rRNA from 1 species